rnacentral:tRNA from 1 species
AGGGGCGUUCGUUAAUGGUAAACGGCCCGCCUCCAAAGCGGAUCCUGGGGGUUCGAGUCCCUUCGCCCCUG